UCACUAUGUAGACUUGGAUGGCCUGGAACUCAAGCACACUACAUAAACCAAGACAGCCUCUACUCAUAGAGAUCUGCUUGCCUCUGCUUCCCAAGUUUGAGGAUCAAAGGAGGGCCGCCAUGCUCAGCUUUGUGAAGAGCCCCACCUGCAGCUGCUGAGCCAGAUGCCUAGACAUGCUCUUGCCUUAAAAAUACCCAGUGUUCUGGACAGUACCACCCACAUCCCCAGGCUGGGUGUUGUCCCAGCCUACUGGAAUACAGCCUUUCAACUGGCUAUACACUGUGUCUGAGUGAUGGAUCAUCCCUGCCUUUGAAAUGGAAAGUUCAUUUGAAAACACUCAUGUGAAAGAAGACCGUCUUAGCAGUUGUAGAUUUCUUGAACUCCUGAACUUCCUGCCUAAAGCAUAUCUUCCUGAUAUGCAACAGCACAACUGAUAGGAGUGCACUUUUGGAAAGCAACUGCCUAAGGAAAUGUUUAUACCAGUUCACCUAUACAGGCAAUUGGCUCCUGCAUCUGUGGAUCAAGAGGCUCCAUCUACACCUCAAGCUGCCAGCACUACUUCAUGGUGGUUGCCAUGAAGGGUAAGGUUUAAAGAGGGCUUUGAAAGAAAAGAUCAAUCACACCUUGGAAUUAGUUGCAACAAAGAAAUUGCUGGUGUGAUUAAAACAUGGAAGAGGACAUUUUGAGAAAAAAAAAAAUAGUGAAUAAAUUUGUGUUCCCACCAAGCCCUAACCCCAUACAAGUAAGACACAACUUUGGCUUCCACCUCUAAGAGCACUUCCAAAGCUGGUGCCGCACAUCUUGGAUGCAAAGCAGACUCCAAGUUUAGUGGAUACAGAUCUUCAGUUGAUAGUUUCUAAAUCUAGAAGAGCUUGAAGUCUGCUGACACUGUAGUGUGGCCACCCUGAUGGACCCUGUGGGAAGUAGCUGUUAUUAUUGGUUCUGUGACACAGAUUGAACGGAACUGAUAAGCUCCAUUAAACCGUUAUACCACAAUGAAGCACAUCAUGAUGCUUUUGAACCUGAUCUGAUAUGAACUUGUCAUUUCACCAUCCUGAACAAAUGAUACAGAAUUCAACAAUUUAAUCUUUCUGGUUGCUUAGAGUUUGGAUGAAAAUGAGUAACAUGAAGUUAUUAUGACACACUGGCUGUCUUCAUUGGUUUUCUUUGGAACACUUACAUGCUGUAGGUAACAGAUGUGUUGCAUAAUUGGAAGGACUAAUGAAAAACUCAUCUGCAUCUGAUUUCAUAUAUGACAGCCAAACGAAAAAUAUGACUUGAUUUCUCAUGCAGAGUUUAUCUCUAUUUCAGAUCAGUUGCUGAAUAGCUUUGUUUUGCAGUCAUUUCCCAUCACAGUAUUCUGCCUUGUAGAAGGCAAAUCAAUCACAGAAUGGGAUCCCUAAAACUGUGAACCAAAGACAACCUUUUCUCUUGGUAACCUUAUUAGUGUCAAGUGUCUGUUACAGUAACAGAAAGUAGAUCUCAGCCUAAGAAACUCUCAGAUGAAGAAGCCCAAUCUUCUUUCAGGCUUUCUGGUAAACCUGCAAAUCUCUGGAAACAGACAUUAACCUUAUACCCAUGGAAUGUUUCCAGAAAGAAUGGAGUAGCUCUCAUCUUUAUUACCAUGGUUAGCUAACAGGUGUGUCUUUUGACUAGUAGACACUCUAGCUUCUAAGGGGCUCCUUGUCAUGGAUAAAUGGUCUGAAGAAAUUGAGAAGGUCGACUCAUCAAAGUUCUUUUUUUAUUUUAAAUUACUAUUGAUACUUAUAUCUAACAAUUAGUAAUAUUGUUUUAGCAAUGAUUACUAUAAUAAAAGCACAAUUAUAUCAAAAUUGAAAUCUGGCUAGAGAAUGACUCAGAUUGCCCUCUCUCACUACCUAUAAGUGUUAGUAAAUAGUCCAAGUUUCUAUUAAAUGACAUGGUAGUUGUCUAAACUCUACCUUAAGUUAUAUGCUUAAUUACUCCUUGUGUAGGAGGAAAAAUACUAUGAACAAGUGACUAAAACAUUCAAAUUGCUUCAUUCAAAAGAACUGUGUGAUCAUGACCUUAAUAGUCUAUAGUCAAUGUAAGCAGAGAAGUGAUCUAAUACAUUUUUUUUGUGAGUAGGAAGGCAUUUAUAACUAUGUUUUAAAGUAAAACUCAAAUAUUUUGAUUCCAUGAACAUAUUAAUUACACAGAAUACUUUUGAAACAAAAACUGAGCUGUAGUCUUGAAAAAUUUAUCAAUAAGAUUUGGUAAAUAAAAAUAAUCAGAAAGUUAAAUAUGUAAGAAUACUUGUGGCAGAGACUUGAAUGUUAAUCUUUUAAACUGAUGAAUUUUAUUAAACAGAGGAAGUAGACAGGGUAUUGAAAAAGAUAUGAGAAGGUGAGAGAGUGAGAGAGAGAAAGAGAAAGAGAGCUGGUCCAUCUGAGGAUGGACAAUGGCAAAAUUAGGAUAGAUGUGGAACUUCCACGUUCCUUUAUUGAAGUUUCAACAUGGCAAAAUGAAAUUUUGUAUCAGGAUUUUCACUAGUUCACCACUAAUGGCAUCAUUUCACUCUCAUGAUGAAUUCCUCUAAGAUAUCGAGAAUGCCCUCAUUUUGGUAGAGCACACAAACUCAGUUGUUCACAGAGUUCCUCUUCCCAUCACUGUCUAAAUUGUGUGAUUUACUUGUGUGAUUUAUUUUAUUCAUUUAUUUACCUAUGUUCCUCAACCUAUUUCUAGGUGGUGGGGAUGCCACCAAAAUAUUGUAACUUGUAGAAUAUAUGCUUGAAAUAGUUUUCAAUUGGUGUUUAUAAAUCAAGUUGCCCUUAGUUAAUACAUAUACUUUUGAUAGCUAUAAAAAAAGUACAGCGACAUCAUCAAGUGUUCAAGGUGCUAGCAGUAUUUUGAGAAGAAAAAUCAUAACAGGCAAAACCAGAAAAUCAGGAAGAGCUGUGUGUCCAAGGUUUCCAAAAAGAUUGUAUGAAACUGUUUUAAGGAGUAGAAGAAGCAAAAUGAUCAGACAAGUCCAGACAGGGAAUGUGCCUUGUAUUCAGAUAGAUGAUUGAUAUUUUAAAUGAUUGAUAUUUUAAUAUUACUAAAUACAUGAAGGUUAGAAGGUCAAAUGGAGUUGGUUGUGCCAAUCCUAUCCCCAUCCUCCCAAAUUAAAUAAAGCUAGGAAUCUAUGAACAAUAGGUUCCUAUGUAUAAUGCCUUAUACUAACUGUUGCAUAAGACUGCCACCAAGGUUACCUUAACCACAACAUACAAUAAGUAUCUCUGUAAAGACAUGUGGCAGGAACUGUUAUUCCAGCUGUGGAUGGAUUGCACUCUCAUUUUUAGUAACUAUGGGCACAAGGAAAUGUUUCAUAAUCAUUGAUGUGUUCUUCCUUACUUCUGUUAUUUCAAAGCUUCCUCUUCUCUCUUCCCCUUGUCUCAAUCCCUCUGGAUGUGUCCACAGUUCACUGUGGAUGCCAUAUUCUUUCUGCACUGUUCAAAUAACUAUCAGUAUUUGCUGGAGAAUUUUUCUCUGAUUGUUUUGUGACUUAUCAAUAUCCCAUUGUGAAUAAUACUAUAUAUGUGUGUAUUAGUAGAUAUAGAUAUAUGUGUGUAUUCAUAUAUAUAUUAAUAUUGGUUUUACAUGUGUUUGUUGAUUUUUUGAGCCAAGGUUUCUCUAUGUAGCCCUGGCUAUUCUAGAGCUCACUCUAUAGACCAGGUUGACUUUGAACUCUGAGAUUUACUUACCUCUGCUUAAAGAUGUGCACCUUUACUGCCUGGCUCUAGUAUAAAAAUUGUAUAUGUACAUAUAUAUUUAUAUAGCUCUGAAGUUAAAUUCUGUAACAACAAAUUUUAAUUUAAUGUAUGCUACUAAUAAAACAUUGCUUUUGAUUGCUAA